rnacentral:rRNA from 1 species
GAACAUUGAUACGUUGAACGCACAUGGCACAUCGGCUCGCCUCAAAACGACCGAUGUACACAUCCUUGAGU